GGGAGGCCGAGGCGGGGAAACCACUUGAACCAAGGAUGGUGAGGCUGCAGUGAGCCAAGAUCAUGCCAUUGCACUCCAGCCUGUGUGACAGAGCUAGACUCCAUCUC